rnacentral:misc_RNA from 1 species
GCUCCCAAGUCUUAUUUUGCUCCAAAGCAGCUAUCUCAGCAUGCAUAGCUUUUCUCCAACAAUCAUGCUUAACAGCCUGAGAAUAUGACUUAGGUUCGACUAUAGUGGAAGUAGAUAAAACAAAAUGUCUAUAAUUUGGAGAUAAAGAAUCUUAUGAAAGGACUUGAGAAAUGGGAUAAAGAAUACUUGGACCUGUAGUAGUUGGAGCUGCAGAUGUUAAAUUGCAAUGGUAAUCCUGCAAAUAGGAUGGUGGCCUUCUAGUCCUAGCAGAAUGCCUGGAAAUAGGUGUGUCAUUCGUGGUGGUGUGAGAAAUGGACUGUGAAGGUGAUGAGGAGGAUGAGAGAUGAGAUGACGAAAAGAGAAAAUCAUAAUCACAAAUUGUAGUAUCUAAGGGAAUAGGAACUGAAAAUGUAGAAGGAGGAAAAGUUUGAGACUUAUAGGGAAAAACAGACUGAUAAAAAAUAACAUGU